UACGUAGGGCGCAAGCGUUGUCCGGAAUUAUUGGGCGUAAAGAGCUCGUAGGCGGCUCGUCGCGUCGGAUGUGAAAGCUUGGGGCUUAACCUCAGGUCUGCAUCCGAUACGGGCGGGCUAGAGGCAGGUAGGGGAGAACGGAAUUCCCGGUGUAGCGGUGAAAUGCGCAGAUAUCGGGAGGAACACCGGUGGCGAAGGCGGCUCACUGGACCGGUACUGACGCUGAUGCGCGAAAGCGUGGGGAGCAAACGGG
rnacentral:rRNA from 1 species